CGAACCGAACCCGUGCUCUUCUCCUCUCCUUGGGAUUUCCGAUCUCCUUCUUCCCCUCUACUUCUUCUCGCCGCCUCUCUCUCGCGGGCGACCCGACGCCGACGACGCUAGGGAGCAGAUCGCCGGCGGAGGUCUUCUUCUCCGGAGCCUCACCAAUGUUAGGUUCCCUUGGCCACUAGCGGCCGAUUCUCUUUGGCCAGCGGCCGAUCCUCUGUGCUCUUUCUCGCGGACGAGUGAUGCCACGAGAUUAGGGUUUCCAGCUCCGGCGAUCUUUCCCCGCCGACAUCAGCAUCUAUUGAGCUUCGAUUCAGCCGCAGACCUUCUCUCUCGCGGACGGCCGACGACCUCUCGGUGGCUAGGGCACGGCGAGGAGCCGGAUCUUGCAUCCUCUUCAACCGCUCUGUUCCAGUGUCGUUGCCGGCUUUGAAGGUAAGCAACCUAUUCCUUCUCGUCUCUUGGUUGUCGCCUAUCUUUGAGCAAAGUGGGGUUUCUAUGGAUUCGAAGUUCUAUUCCUGUGGAGUUUUUCUUUGGCUUCAGCAGUAGCUAUCCUUCCGGCAGCAAUCAUCCACGAUUGAGGAUCAACAGAGAGUGAAUUGUUGAUCUCUUCUCUUGAUCCGAUCGGUGAGGACUCUGAUUCGAGACGGCGUCUCGACGUCGACUUCGGAUUUGGGAUUGUACCUUCUAUUU